rnacentral:lncRNA from 1 species
AUGACCGGGACGGGGCGGGGCAGGGCGGGGGGCACGGGUCGGCCCAUGGCACACGUGAGGGGUGAAGGGUGCCGAGGAGACUUGGAAGAGCAGGUGUUCUCAGAGGUGUUCUCAGAGGCUGCGAGACGUGGGUCUGGAGGGGACAGGCACGCACUUGCAGGUGAUAAGUCCUUGGGAUUUUUAGAAAGUUUUUUUGGUCACUGGAUUUGGGGAAUCUCAGAACUGUUGGGAUACUGUGGCGAUUUGGAUGGUUUUAGUUUUAUAUUUUUAAGAGAUUUGCUUGUUUAUUUGAAAGAGUUACAGAGAGAGAUCGUCCACCCACUGAUUCACUCCCUAGGGCUGCAGCAGCUGGGGCUGGGCCAGGCUGAAGCCAGGCGUCAGGAGCUUCAGCUGGGUCUCGUACAUGCUGCAGGGGCCCAAGCUCUUGGGCAUCCUCUGCUGUUUUCCCACGUGCAUUAGCAGGGAGCUGGACCACAAGUGGAGCACCUGGGACACAAACUGGCCCCCAAGGGGAUGCCGGCAGUGUGGCAGGAGGCUUUGCCCAGUGCUACAAUGCAGGCCCCAGCUGGGUGGUCUUCAAGUUUCUUUGUCCCUUUACUGUGAUGCGAACUCUCACCAGAAUGAGGUGACUUUGCUGUGAGGCCUCUCUUGUCCUUGGACUCAUGCACUCAUUCAGCCAUGUGUUGAGUGCCUACUACACACCAGGCACUGCAGUGUGUGAACAAAACGCUUAACAACCUCUGCCUUCAUGGGGUGUGCAGUCCCGUAAGGGGGGACAGACAAGUGUACAUCACAUCUAUACUAUGUUGGAUGGUGAGAACCCAGGGUAGGUCAGCAUGUCGGGUCCUGAUGCUCCAGCUCACCCUUCUCCAGGUCAGGCAUGGUGGGGGAAAGAUCUGCCCUGCUCUGCACCCAGCCCCUGCUUUGGGGGACAUGGGGGAGGGGGAGGAGAGAGGGAGCAGGGGUCUGGGCCUCCCACACCCACCUGUCACCUGCCCCGCAGCUCUUCAUGAGGAAUGGCCUGGAGGCAGGGGCCAGGGCCUGUGAUGCAGAAGCGAAGUGAACGUUGAAGGAGGUACUGGGGUCUGGAGGAAUUAGGGGAGGUGUGGUUUGCGAGCCGAGUUAGAAAGAAGCAGGGUUUUAGCAGGCAGGUGAAUAGGGAGCGCCAAAGAGUGAGGUUUGCUUGGAGAAGGGUCAGGGCCUGCGGGACUGGGCUGUGAGGAGGUGUGGGCAGGGGUGAAGGGAGGUGAGGAAGUGUGGGCGGGGUGAGGGGUGACAAGGAGGGGGCUGAUGGUGGUGGUGAAAGGGAAGAGCUCCAGGACUGCUCGUGUGGUUGGCUGAAAGUGUUUCACCAUUGCAACUGCCCUGGCGCACGUGUGUGUGCAUGCGUGUACAUAGAUGCACACACAUAUGACUACAUAUACAUAGAUGCGCGCACACACACACACACA